AUCAUGGCUUGGAUUGCCUAACGGGUAAUAAUCUGACAUUCCGGCAGGGUAAAGAAAGAGGAGAGACCCACAACCGAGUCUUUCCUCAGGAAAACCUUCCACUUCCAAGCCUCCCGUUCUUCUCUCUGGGGAAAGCUGAGGGGAAGAGGAAGACGCCUUGAAAGAGAGGAGGGGGAUUUGGGGGGAAGGAUGGCAGGCCUCUUCUCCAUUUGGCCUACCUGAAAGAAGAAACGUCUUGAUUCAGCAGGUGACUCUGCAGGCUCUUCUCAAGCUUUCUCAAUCCUGAGUUCAAGUUUUGGCGGUUAUACCUGGACAUCGGGGCUUCACUGGCCUGAUCUUUCCUCGCUGCAUUGGGUAGACUACGCCAAAGCAACACAAGUAGACCGGGAUGGCCUGGAUCUAACCCCAUCGCAGGCUUUGAGUUUGACACCCCUGCACUACAAUGAUGUGGUCCUUCCGCAAAAAACAUAUUGGACUCAAAUACAUACUUAGUUAGAAUAAGUGAUAAAACAACAUAUAGAUUUGAAACCAGAGAUAUUUUGGGUGGGUAUAUUACCAGAUCAGUAUGACAAAG